rnacentral:rRNA from 1 species
CCUACGGGGGGCAGCAGUGAGGAAUAUUGGUCAAUGGGCGUACGCCUGAACCAGCCAAGUCGCGUGAGGGAAGACUGCCCGAUGGGUUGUAAACCUCUUUUGUCAGGGAGCAACGCCGGCUACGUGUAGCCGGACUGAGAGGACCUGAAGAAAAAGCAGCGGCUAACUCCGUGCCAGCAGCCGCGGUAAUACGGAGGAUGCGAGCGUUAUCCGGAUUUAUUGGGUGUAAAUGGUGCGUAGGCGGAAUGCCAAGUCAGCGGUAAAAUCGCGGGGCUCAACCUCGCUCCGCCGUUGAAACUGGCGUUCUUGUGUGGGCGAGACGUCUGCGGAAUGCGUGGUGUAGC